GUGCUUGCUUCAGCAGCACACAUACUAAAGCUGGAACGAUUCAGGAAGAUUAACAUGGCCUCUGCAAAAGGAUGUCAUGUGAGUUUAUGACAUGAAGCAUUCCAUGUGUUU
ensembl:snRNA U6 U6 spliceosomal RNA